rnacentral:misc_RNA from 1 species
CCGAGUUUACAACUCCCAAACCCAAUGUGAACGUUACCAAACUGUUGCCUCGGCGGGGUCACGCCCCGGGUGCGUAAAAGCCCCGGAACCAGGCGCCCGCCGGAGGAACCAACCAAACUCUUUCUGUAGUCCCCUCGCGGACGUUAUUUCUUACAGCUCUGAGCAAAAACUCAAAAUGAAUCA